UGGUUAUUCUUUGUUUGUUUUUGUUUUAAUUUAUACUCUCAAGGUGGGGUAUAGCGUAUAGACAAAUUAGACCAGUUUGUAUAUUUUAUAUUGUUUUUGAGUCAAGGUGGGGUGAGUGACAAUAUAUGAUUUAGCAUUUUCUAUUUGCUCUAUUUGGUUUUCCACAAGGGGUUAAAUAUUUAUGGUUUUAGUAAGGUUAUAGUAAAUUAUUUUAUACUGUUAUGAGGAUGUAUCCCUUAGUACACAUUAAUACUGGUUGCAUUUUGCUCACAUUUGUGUUUACAAUGUUUUAGAUGACCACUUGUGAAUCCAGACGGUAAUACUGAGACAAGGAUGAUAAUCAAACCACUAGUGAUUUGCAUAAUGUAACACUGCGCACUUUCUGUGCUAAGAAUCUUUUAAUUUCCGGAAGCCAAGGGCCUAUCGAAAACUUAUUAAACAUCCUCAAGGGCUCAAACACAAACCCACUCCACCUAUACAAACGUGCACAAACACCUUCACUCAGAUCCCCACUCCAAACAAUAAACUAUGUUUCUCCCUUGUGUGGUCUCUUUAAUACACUAUGUAAGUGAACAGCAAAGUAACUGCUGUUGGUGUGAAAAUACACCAGGUGUCAUGGUGGGCAGAGGUCAGAGGCCUAAUAGCCCAAAGUAAGCAAGGCCAGGGUUAAAGGAACAGUGUGGUGGAAGCAGUGCUGGUGGCACAGGUAAUUGAGCGUGAUGGGAGUGAAAUCUAAUGGUUGCAGUGAUGCUGAGAAUAUGAGGGUAAUGAAAGGUUACGGAUAUGGCUGAAGGAGUUCAAAUUAAUGGUGAAAAAUGAUAACUGUAAGUGCCUCAAUGAUUUGGCUAAAUUAUGCCUUGCAGUACCCUAAAUUAUAAAUAUAUGUGGUUGUCAAGUCAUUUGUAUCUCAGUAAAACACAUAAU